GUGAGGAAUAUUGGUCAAUGGGCGGGAGCCUGAACCAGCCAAGUCGCGUGAAGGAAGAAGGAUCUAUGGUUCGUAAACUUCUUUUGCAGGGGAAUAAAGUGCAGGACGUGUCCUGUUUUGUAUGUACCCUGAGAAUAAGGAUCGGCUAACUCCGUGCCAGCAGCCGCGGUAAUACGGAGGAUCCGAGCGUUAUCCGGAUUUAUUGGGUUUAAAGGGUGCGUAGGUGGUUUGAUAAGUCAGCGGUGAAAGUUUGCAGCUUAACUGUAAAAAUGCCGUUGAAACUGUCGGAGUUGAGUGUAAAUGAGGUAGGCGGAAUGCGUGGUGUAGCGGUGAAAUGCAUAGAUAUCACGCAGAACUCCGAUUGCGAAGGCAGCUUACUAAGCUACAACUGACACUGAAGCACGAAAGCGUGGGGAUCAAACAGGAUUAGAAACCCGGGUAGUCC
rnacentral:rRNA from 1 species